rnacentral:rRNA from 1 species
AACGAACGCUGGCGGCAGGCCUAACACAUGCAAGUCGAACGCCGUAGCAAUACGGAGUGGCAGACGGGUGCGUAACGCGUGGGAACAUGCCCUUCGGUUCGGAAUAACUCAGGGAAACUUGAGCUAAUACCGGAUACGUCCGAGAGGAGAAAGAUUUAUCGCCGAAGGAUUGGCCCGCGUCUGAUUAGCUAGUUGGUGAGGUAACGGCUCACCAAGGCGACGAUCAGUAGCUGGUCUGAGAGGAUGAUCAGCCACACUGGGACUGAGACACGGCCCAGACUCCUACGGGAGGCAGCAGUGGGGAAUAUUGGACAAUGGGCGCAAGCCUGAUCCAGCCAUGCCGCGUGAGUGAUGAAGGCCCUAGGGUUGUAAAGCUCUUUUACUCGGGAAGAUAAUGACGGUACCGAGAGAAUAAGCCCCGGCUAACUUCGUGCCAGCCGCCGCCGUAACAC